UUUAUUGUUUUGAUUUUGCUGUUUGCUGCUGCUGGGAAAUUAUGCAAAUUCUUCUUGUACAGGAAAAGAAUACUGAUAAUUAAGAAAUGUGCAGCUUGGAUUUAAGAUAAUCUCAUAAAUCCACACUAGUGUCCUCACAGAGCAGCACGUUAAUAGCUCUGGUAACUGCUGUCUGACAACCAGGACUUCUCAGCCCUCCAAGAGGUCACUUGGCACAUCUCUCACUGAACACUGUAGGUGGGAAUGAGGCGCUUGCAUGAGGAGAACAAGUGAGCAGAAAAAGGGCAGGACUACAAGGCAAAAGGACCUGGCCACCUUUGAGGCCAAGUUCUGCAGGUCUACUUAAACAACUUUGUCCAUUUAGGGGAAGAGAAGGUUAAGCACCUUUGGUAAUGUGCCGGCUCAGAGCAGAGAUGUCACUUUGUUGUUUAGGGGGGAACAGGCACUGACUGGCAGGAAUGGCAAACAGACCUUCUCUGCAGGUAACCUCCUUAAAGGUCAGAAAAGAUCACAGCCUUUGGAGGUUAAGCCAUUUCUAGCUAUGGCUCAGGCCUACUGCGAUAAAUCACAAUCAUUUCUGGAAGGUUUUGGCUGUGCAGUGAAGGUAUCUGUGCCCUGGGGGUGCAAGACAGUGAACUUGUAAGUAUUUUAGGCCGUCUUCUACUCUUGUGCAAGUGAUGCACAGAGCUGCCUCAGAGGGGCAAGUGCCAGCCCAGAUAGACAGUAUCGCUAGGAGAAAAAUGCUUCCCUGUCCAGAGGGCUCCUCAGCUGGAGUUCUUGCUGCAGUAUCCCAUGUGUGUGCAAAGUUCCUCAGUCUUUCCCACACUGGGUGUUAAAUUGAGUUUGUGGUCCACAGAGAACCAUGGGCAGUACGGACUUCAACUUUAACACGAGUUGAUUGAGUCUCAAAGCUGUUACUGUGAUUUCCAGGUAUUGCAAUUUCUACCCAAGGGAUGGAAAAAACAUCAUAAAUCAUUUGUUAUGUGGAGUAAAAGAAAGGAGUUUUACUAAUCAGGCCUCAGGACCAGCAUUCUGAGGGUUUAUGGUUGAGGUCAAAUGGCCAGUGAAAUUCCUCCUCCAUGCACUGUGCUGCCAGAAGAGCCCAGCCAUGCUGGUCUGCAGGGCUUUUGAAAACCCAACUGUUAAUGCCAGUUGAAAAUCUAGCCCUAGUUAUGGAAAUGGAGUAGGUCAAAGCUUAGGCCCAGAUAUAAUGAGCACAAGGGUAAGAUGGGUAGGUUAUUUUCAACUACAGCAGACAACCUUAUCUGCGUAGCCUCUGUACAAUUGAAAUCUGCAAGAAUCUCAACCAGGGAGUCACAUUAGCAGAACGAAUAUUAACCUGGGAGCCUCCACAAAAGAAACUUUACCUUGACUUUCUGAUAUAUAUAUAUAUAUGUAUUUGACUUGAUACAGUACUGUCACUGAGCAAUUUAAUUCUCUUCUGGGCACAAUUGUCAACCUGGUUUCCAGAAGGGACACAAGCCGCAGGAUUUAUUUUAUUCCAUUUAAGUAACUAUGACCAGUUGUCAUAAAUUGAGGAGCUGAAAUUGCCCGUUCCCUAAGGCUCUCUAACAAAUGAGAUCAGAAGUCCAAUGAAUACAUGUCUUGCAAAGCUUUUCAGUUCAAUUACAUAUACCCAUGUGCAACUGGUAACACCACACUCAGUUCAAAUAGUAUCUUUGCAGGUGUGAAAGACUGCAAAUUGAAGUCUACUUCACAUCAGUAUCCAACAUGUUACUGGAAAGAUUAAAAGGAAUAUUUUCAAGGGACAAAGGAUGAACAAUUAAUGAGCCCUGGAGUGACUCUGAAACAGGUAGCAAAGAAAAACAACUGUAAAAGGAGAAACCAUCAGAAGUGAGCAGUUUGGUGCCAAGUUUCCGAGGAGAUUAGUGGAGAGUUUCAGUAGAUCCAUUAGUGUUUGCAAAGUACUUGUGGAGUGGAUCAAUGAGCAUCAUAGAAACUCCCAGGAGGAAGUGAAUUAAAAGCUUUUGCUUUUGCUUUUUUUACAGUGGGAAGCAAAUAAAGCAGAGCUCACACACUGGCUGAUGAGACUAAGGCAAGGCAUUGUAUGGACAUCUGCUCAAAAGCCAGAAAGUGAAUGGGACCCCAGGAGAUUUUCCAGGCCAUCUUUCUGCAGGGAAGGGCCUGAUUCCCUUUCAUGGUUUCCUGCUGAAGUACAGAAGUACAUCCAGCUAUAAGAGAAAAAGAUCCAUCUUUCAGCAUCAGGAGAUUAAAGGGCUAGAGUGAGAUAACAUUUUGCAAACCUGAAACGAUUUGAAAAUCCCUUUCCUGCUAUUUCUGGAAAAAAGUCAAUG